rnacentral:rRNA from 1 species
GUGGGGAAUAUUGGACAAUGGGCGAAAGCCUGAUCCAGCCAUGCCGCGUGUGUGAAGAAGGUCUUCGGAUUGUAAAGCACUUUAAGUUGGGAGGAAGGGCAGUAAGUUAAUACCUUGCUGUUUUGACGUUACCGACAGAAUAAGCACCGGCUAACUUCGUGCCAGCAGCCGCGGUAAUACGAAGGGUGCAAGCGUUAAUCGGAAUUACUGGGCGUAAAGCGCGCGUAGGUGGUUUUGUACGUUGGAGGUGAAAUCCCCGGGCUCAACCUGGGAACUGCCUCCAAAACUGCAUGACUAGAGUACGGUAGAGGGUAGUGGAAUUUCCUGUGUAGCGGUGAAAUGCGUAGAGAUCGGGAGGAACAUCCGUGGCGAAGGCGGCCAUCUGGACCAGCACUGACACUGAGGCACGAAAGCGUGGGGAGCAAACAGGAUUAGAAACCCGAGUAGUCC